UUUUAUUUUUUUAUUUAAACACUGGUUUAGUAAUUCUUAUUGUUUUCAUGUAGGCAUACAUAUACUCCCUCCAUCCCAAAAUUCUUGUCUUAGAUUUAUGUAGGUACGGAUGCAUCUAACACUAAAAUGUCAAUAGAUACCUCCAUAUGUAGACAAAUCUAAGUUGCUAAGCUGAUGUAACAUUUACAAAAACUCCCUCUAUAUACUAAUAUAAGACUUUUUAGAUCACUAAAAUAGAGAGGUAGUACAUAUAAACUGUAUUGGUGGCUAUCUGUCUUUUUGCUUAUUUAAUUUAUUAUUAGUUAAGAUAAGACACAUACACUCCACGAUGAAUGUUUGUGCGGGCUAAUACCUAAAAUGUUUAAAUAACUAACAAAGUAGAUAUAUAACAUUUUUGUCAUUCGUUUAUCUGUUAAGACACAUUUUUUAUGGUUUUGAUGAUAAAAGGAAUUAUCGUUUCAUAUUUGGGAAAAUAUUGAGCUCAAACUUUCUCACCCAAUUUUUUGGAGGUGCCUAGCUCUAACCAUGGGUUUGUCGGGUCGGUCUGCACGAUUGGUGAUAGUUUGUAACGGCUUGACAUGAAAUGAUACUUUCAUAUUCAUAGUCCAAAUAACAAUGAUUGGUACCAGUCGGAGACUUUUUUAUGAUCGUGUACUAUUCGGAAUAUUUUACACGAACACAUUAUGUACAGUAUAAUUUAGGCUGAGCACACGUAUAUGGACUCCUCCUGUACGCAAUCUGAUUAGUAGAAAUUAUUAUAGUCGUCUUUUAACGAACGAAUGGUUUUUUCUGGUUGAAGCUGAGUAGGAUCUCCUCGCAAAAAAAGAAGCCAAGCAGGAUCACAGGGAUGUACAGACUGCACACAUUUUUUCUGGUGGAAGCCGGACUGUUCUCUCGCACUCGCACCCUCACACACUCACACGUAGCUCUUGGAUAUUCUCAAAAGAAAAACGCAGCUCUUGAUGGAUCCCCCCUUUUCAUCUCCUUCCAUCCCCCCGCUCCAAAAUUCUUCCAGCCGAGCAUUGCGGUAGUUCCCAACAACACCUCAGUUCCCCUCUUGAUUCCUUGCCGGGACCUUGCUCGUCCUCACUUGCACGCACCUCUGCAGCUCGGCUCACUGGUGCGGCGACGGGGUGGGCUUGGGUCCCUGUACGCAUCGUCGAUCUCUCAGGCCGGUCAACAGCGACGGAUGGGUAGUAGGGCUCGAUGAGAAGCUGUGCCAUGGAGGAUGCGAGCUUAUUGAUCUUGGCUGUUUCAUUGUCGUCAGCGUCCUUCGAGGCGAUGUGGGCGUGGAUCUUGUCUCCCGCAGCCAGCUUGGAUCCACAUUGGUUGUGAGGAUGCUGACGGCGUUGUUUUUCAUUGCAUCGUGGUUGUCCCCGAGCAAGGCAGCCGGGCAGGUCGUCUUCAUCCUCGACACUUGCAGACUGAAUUCGGCAACUUAUUCUUCCACCUAAAGGCCAACAUAUAAUUAUGUUCUUAGGUUUCCUUGUUGUCUUUCGAUCCAGUCUAGCUAUUUGUACUGCAAAAUGUAUGCAAGGGCAAUGAACUGCAAUUUAGGCUUUUCACACACCAGCAAGUGUUUUGACAGGUUAGUACAUUGUUGUAUAUGAUUCUCAUAGUAUUCCAACAAUGUUAUAUGCUUUCUCUUCCACUUUGCACCUUCUUUUAAUGUGUAAUGUAUAUUUUCUCUCUACACAUCUUCUCGCUGGGGAAUAAUAAUUGAUACUGCAUAGGCUUGAAUGUUGAUUGGUUCUCUGAUAUUCUUCGGUCUCAUGUCUUUGUAGUGAACAUUGUUGUCCUGUCCUUUUCUAUUCUGUGUUGUAUCAUUCACAAUCAAGGCUGAAACUACAGUUGCAGAUGGCAUGCCAUGUCGUAUUAAUCUCACGUUGUAAUAGUCACCUUUUCAAAUUUAUCCCUUGCCAUUCUCAGUGUUUUUGCUAGUCUAUUAUCUCUAUCCAACAUUUUUUAAGGCCCCCGACAAAGUGAGGAUAUCUUGACUCCCUUUUGUCUUCUGAUGUUGAUGUGUCAAUCCUGAUUUUACCUCAUUUGUAGCGUCAUAUGUGUACAACUGCGUUGUGCGUGGUUCGUCCUUACCUUCAGGUAAUAGAGUACCUAUUCUGUGAUAUUUUUGGCCAUUCAUGACAAAUAUAUAACGUCCGCGGCCAUUGUUUA